UUUUCUUGUUGGGUGGAUAAUCAUGGUUUACUUAACAAGGUACCCAAUCUGACCUACCUAGCUUCUUCCCAGGUUUACCUACCCUAUAUAAGUACUGCGCUAUGCAUUCUCCUUACUAAAAUGCAUGGACGUGCAUACAAAAUAUCUGUCACUACAUAAGGAAACAAAGGUCCAUAAAAAUUAUAGUUAGUUUUGGAUGGCAAUAAAAAUCUUUCAUUUUUAAGUGUAUUGAUAUAGAAGAGGGAAAUGAGGGGACAUCAUAAGUUUUCACAACGAAAAAUCACAAUAAGGAAAGAAAAAAAAGAUAGGAAACAAAUUAAAAAGAUAAAAAAAAUGUUUUUGAAAAGAAAAGAUAUAUAUACUAAUAAAUUAUUGAAAACCUUUCACUACAAAAGUAUUUUUUUACUUACCAAUAAAUUGUCAAUAAUUGUCAUGCAUGUGGAAUCAAAUCCAAAAUAGACCCUUUAAUUGACA
rnacentral:lncRNA from 1 species